AUUGAACGCUGGCGGCAGGCCUAACACAUGCAAGUCGAGCGAGCGGCGGACGGGUGAGUAAUGUAUGGGGACUGCCCGAAAGAGGGGGCUAACUACUGGAAACGGUGGCUAAUACCGCAUACUAACGGCUACACCAUAUGGGAUUGGCUAGUAGGUGGGGUAAAGGCUCACCUAGGCGACGAGCUCUAGCUGGUCUGAGAGGAUGAUCAGCCACACUGGGACUGAGACCCGGCCCAGACUCCGACGGAGGAAGCAGUGGGAAAUAUGGCACAAUGGGCGCAAGCCUGAGGCAGCCAGGCCGCGUGUAUGAAGAAGGCCUUAGGGUUGUAAAGUACUUUCAGCGGGGAGGCGUUACCCGAAGAAGAAGCACCGGCUAACUCCGUGCCAGCAGCCGCGGUAAUUC
rnacentral:rRNA from 1 species